GACGAACGCUGGCGGCGUGCUUAACACAUGCAAGUAGAACGCAGUGGCGAACGGGUGAGUAAUACGUGGGUAACCUGCCCUCCUUUUUGGGAUAAGCCUUGGAAACGGGGUCUCAUACCCAAUAAAGGGGGAUGGGCUCGCGGCCUAUCAGCUUGUUGGUGGGGUGAUGGCCUACCAAGGCGGUGACGGGUAGCCGGCCUGAGCGGGUGACCGGCCAGAUUGGGACGGAGACACGGCGCAGAGGACUACGGGAGGCAGCAGUGGGGAAUAUUGGGCAAUGGGCGCAAGCCUGACACAGUAACGCCGCGGUAAGGAAGACGGGCUUCGGAUGGUAAACUGCGUUAGACAGGGACGCGGUACCUGUAGAAUAAGCCACGGCUAACUACGUGCCAGCAGCCGCGGUAAUUC
rnacentral:rRNA from 1 species